UACGUAGGGGGCUAGCGUUGUCCGGAAUCAUUGGGCGUAAAGAGCGUGUAGGCGGCUUGGUAAGUCCGCUGUGAAAGUCCAGGGCUCAACCCUGGAAUGCCAGUGGAAACUGUCGAGCUAGAGUCCGGAAGAGGCGAGUGGAAUUCCUGGUGUAGCGGUGAAAAUGCGCAGAUAUCAGGAGGAACACCAAUGGCGAAGGCAGCUCGCUGGGACGGUACUGACGCUGAGACGCGAAAGCGUGGGGAGCAAACAGG
rnacentral:rRNA from 1 species